ACCUUAGUGUCUCAGUGUCCACAUGUCUCCCAGUGUCCUCAUGUCUCCCUUAGAGUCUCAGCGUCCCCAUAUCUCUCCCAGUGUCCCCUAGUGUCUCAGUGUCCCUAUGUCUCCCUUAUUGUCUCAGUGUCCCCUAGUUUUCCCAUGUUUCACAGUGUUUUAGUGUAGCUAUGUUUCCCCUAGUGUCUCAGUGUCCCCAUGUGUCUCCAUGUCUUCCCUAGUGUGUCAGUGUCCCCAGUUUCUGAGGAUCCCCAUGCCUCCCUUAGUGUCUCAGUGUACCCUAGUCUCCCCUAGUGUCUCUGUGUCCCCUAGUCUCCCCAUGUAUCCUAGUAUCUCAGUGUCCCCAUGUUUCCCUUAGUGUCUGUGUCUCCAUGUCUCACAGUGUUCCCAGGUCUCCCAGGGUCCCCUAGUGUCUCAGUGUCCCUAUGUCUCCCCUAAUGUCUCAAUGUCCCCUAGUUUCCCCAUGUCUCCCCUAGUGUCUGUGUCCCCUAGUAUCCUCAUGUCUCCCUUAGUGUCUCAGUGUCCCUAUGUAUCCCAGUGUCCCCUUGUGUCUCAGUGUCCCUAUGUCUCCCUUAAUGUCUCUGUGUCCCCUAGUUUCCCCAUGUCUCACCUAGUGUCUGUGUUCCCUAGUAUCCCCAUGUCUCCCAGUGUUUCAGUGUCCCCAUGUCUCCCAGUGUCCCCUAGUAUCUCAGUGUCCCCAUGUAUGUGUCUCCAUGUCUCUGUGUCUACCAGGAUCGCCAUGUCUCUGUGUCCCCCAGUGUUCUCAUGUCUAUGUGUCUCUCAGGAUCCCCUGUGUCCCCAUGUCUCUGUAUGCCCCCGUGUUACCUGUUACAGACUGCCCUUCAAUUUGUCUUCACCCAUCCCUCACUUACCUGAGCUGCUGGCUGGACUGUCUGGGCAGAGCUGCUCGCCUGCGGAUCAGUGAGUAGAGAGAGGCAGGGAUAUGCUGACUUCCUAUCCCUGUCUCUCUCCACACACGGUCUAAUCUAAGUUUAUAAUGAGAAAAAUACCGGCAUUUUUAUUGCCGGUAUUACUACACUACCGGCACCGGCCAGGCGGCCUCAAACACAG